rnacentral:snoRNA from 1 species
CUGGAAUGAUGAUGCUUAGCCAAAUCAGAUAUGUGCUCCAAGAGGCAUUUUUCUGUUGAACCUUGAGUUCAGCAGAUGGUGUGCCUCUUGUUGUAGUGCGUCUUAGACGAUAUCACAGGGAAUGGUUUUAGCUGACCAGA